ensembl:lncRNA
AUUAAUAUAUCCAAUAUGCCAUAAUAUGAUGUUACAUAAAUUACAUAAUUGUUAUAUUUUGAUUGUUAGUAUAGACUUUGGUAUGCAGGUAAAUAAUUUAGUUGGCACAUUCACAACCCAUUUUCUUCUGGAAUGCAACAUUUUGCCAGGAUAUUCAAUAUGUGAAAUAGAAAUUUAAUUAAAAAAAAAAUAAUGGAUAUAUAUUUUUUUUAAAUAUUUAAUUAUUAAUUCAGUCUUUAAUACAUAACAAAACAUAGCUUUUGAACUUCAUUCAAAUAAUACAGAAACUCCUCAAUCUCAACAAUAAGAUUUAUUCACCAGGCAUUUUUGGUCAAAAGACAUCUCAUUGCAUUUUCCUUUUGAAAUUUCCCCCCCGAGACAAUAGCUAAACAGAUUUGAACCAUACAAUUAAGAAAUACAGCAAUCAUCACAUGAUAUAUACACAAAAUCAAAAUGAAGUAAAACAAAUGUAAGUUCCAAAGUCUCAAAUUGUCUCUGUACAGACAGUAAAAGAGUGCAUGCACCAGAACGUGUGAUUCUAAAAGACUUUGCUUUGCAUUAAAUAAAUACUGAAAACUCACACAAUAAAGACAUUCAACAGUCAUCUGAACCAGCCAGACAACAUGCAAAUAAAAAACAGAGAACACAAAAUAAACUUUUACAGUUCUCGCCAAGUACGUUCAUGCACUUGAGCAGAGCACAGCAAACUGACAUCUAUGUGUUAAAUCUACACGUUAAUUUAACUUCAUUUACUGCAGACUUAUGCUGACAUUACCAUAGUAAGACUGUGCUUCAGAAGGAAACAUGAAAGAAGUUCAAGACACAGAUUCGGUAGAAUAAACACAGGAUGCACUUAUGAUAACAAUAACUAAAUAAGAAAUAACACAGGAGGUCAUGGUUUCAUAACAAAAAGAAAAUGGAUUUAAACAUCAUGAUUACAAUAACUUUUAAGAUUAUUAACAAGAGAUAUGCCUGAGCAAAUGAUAUUAAAAUCAUAUGACAUUCUCGUUCUAGUACCAGUACCAUACACUGGAGGCCUGGUUUAGGGGAAAAACAAAUCCUGGUUAGCAUAGUUACCAAUUCAUUUCUAUGUGGAAAAUGACAUAUUUAAUAGAUUUGGCCAUUUAACCCCCCCAAAAUAAUAAUUAUAAUAAUAAAAAAAAAUUAUAUAUGUAUAUAUAUAUAUUGUAUAUUGUGUGCAAUUUAUAUAAAUAUUAUCAAAUAAAAUUUUUAUAUAAAAAUAUAAAAUACACUAAUAAAUAUCUAAACUUAUAAUUUUAUAACUAUUACUAUAAUUAUAUAUAUAUAUAUAUAUAUAUAUAUAUAUAUAUAUAUAUAUAUAUAUAUAUAUAUAUAUAUAUAUAUAUAUAUAUAUAUUAGGG